GAGUUUGAUCUUGGCUCAGAUUGAACGCUGGCGGCAUGCCUUACACAUGCAAGUCGAGCGGCAGCGCGGGGGCAACCCUGGCGGCGAGCGGCGCACGGGUGAGUAAUGCAUCGGAACGUGUCCUCUUGUGGGGGAUAACCAGUCGAAAGACUGGCUAAUACCGCAUGAGCACGAGAGUGGAAAGCGGGGGACCGUAAGGCCUCGCGCGAGAGGAGCGGCCGAUGCCGGAUUAGCUAGUUGGUGGGGUAAAGGCCUACCAAGGCGACGAUCCGUAGCUGGUCUGAGAGGAUGAUCAGCCACACUGGGACUGAGACACGGCCCAGACUCCUACGGGAGGCAGCAGUGGGGAAUUUUGGACAAUGGGGGCAACCCUGAUCCAGCAAUGCCGCGUGAGUGAUGAAGGCC
rnacentral:rRNA from 1 species